GGUCUGGGCCUCCUCCUGGCCCCUGAGAGCGGCCGCCAGGAGGAGGAGCAGAAGAGCGAGCACGGGCCGCGGAAGCACAGCCAUCCACGCAGCGCCGGCCUCGCCAGGCCCCACGGGUCCCCGGAGCCGCAGCGGGCGCGCCCCCACGGAGGCUCCGGGGCGCCCUAGGCAGCGGCAAGAGCGCGGGGCUAGGAAGCAGCCACCCGCUCCAUGUCCACGCCUCCUUCCGGGCGGCGUGGGCCACGCUCGCCGCCGCCGCCUUUACGAAGCUCCCAGCGAGAGGCGGCGCCCUCUCGGGGACGCGCAGCCCUGUGCCCCAGCUCACCUGGGCCGGCGGCGGCCCCCGCGCGCCUGCGCCAAAGUGUGGCGCGUCAGAGCCGCAGUGGGGAGAAGCUCCGCGGAUGGUGCUACCGUGAGAACUUCUGUGGCUUAAUCUGACGCCCUGUCGGGGUUCGGUCCAGUCACCCCGAGGGCCAAGCUUCAAGUGAGGACAGUUUAGGAGAAAUGAGCUCCUGUAGCUCCUAGCAGAGGGGUCCGGCUAGGUUUCCGGUUUGGAAACGUGAUUUUCUUGCCUCUUAACCUUCCCCCCGCCACGCGCCUCCGCCCCAGCGUUUUCCUCACCUCAUCUCCAGCUUUUACGCGGAUGGAGGAGCCGGGAGAUGGUAAUCCGAGGCGGUGGUGGGUGCGUGGUUUGGGCUACAUUGAGCUAGAUGCUGCUUUGGAUUUUCUGAAAGAAGACCGUGGUUUGCAGUAAACGAACAAACAAAAACACCGUGGCCGCGUUUUGUAACUUGAUAAAUCCAGUGGCUUCUCUUGGUGUGCAGAAUCCUCAUAUAACGAUUGCAGUAAUUUUCACCGGAACUAUAAAUAUCUAGUUACGUUUGCAUCCUGGCAGUUUCUAAGACUUUUACAAAGGAUCCAGGGUCACAGUGCAAGUGUUGGGAAUAGAUUAUGGAUGGAAUGGAUUUCUCAGAGCUCAUCCAGCUCCACUAUCAGAAUCCUUGAACAAGGCUUGGUUCCUCCAAGUCUUCUGGAGAAACUCCCUUGCCUAGGAAUAAGUCUUCCAAAACAAAGGACAGAAUGCAACAAGAUUAUGGAGAGACCACAGAACCAAAGUAGCCUAGAGUGCUGGGCCUAACGCAUGAAGGACAGGUUCCUGCAGAGUCACCCAGACCCACAGUGGACUUCACAGGAGUGAAAAAUAAACUUUUGUUGUGUUGAGUCACUGAGAUUUUGGGGGUUGUGUUUUCCUGCUGCAUAAUCAAGACUCUGCAGUCCCCAAAUGAGAGGAGAGAGGUGAAGACAAAAAAAUUUGAAGAAAUAGUGGCCGAAAUUUUUUGAAAUUUGAUGAAAACCAAAAAUCCUCAGAUACAACAGGCUAAAUGAACCCCAUGCCCUGGGAGCAUGAAAGAAACUCCACAAAGGCAUGUAAUAAUCAAAUUGUUCAAAACAGUGAUAAAUAGAAAUCCAAGAAAAAGGCCCAUUAUGUACAGAGGAACGAAGGUAAUGGUGACAGCAAGUUUCUCAUCAGAAAUGAUGCAAGUGCGAAGAGAAUGGAGCAACAUUUUAAAAGGACUGAAAGAAAAAACCGUCAGCCUACCAGCAAAAAUAUCUUUAAGAAAUUAGGCAAAAUAACUUUUUAAGACGUACAAGCCCUGAAAGAAUUUAUCACAAGCAGAUCUGCACUAAGAGAGUUUUUCUUAAAAACUCCUUCAGGGAGAAGGAAAAUUAUCCCAGAUGGAAAUCUGACCCACAGAGAGGAAUGAGGAGGACUGAAAAUCACUGGGAAUUUUUGGCCGUGCACCUCGCCUCAUGUUCCUAUGCUCCCUUUCCAGCAUCUUGUCAGCCUGCUGAACGUCAUCCUCAUUUUUUUUUUCUCUAAAAUGCCAUCAAUUUAAGCCUAGUUUGUAAUAAAUUUUCAGGGUAAAAUUAAGUUUGAGGGUAUAGGGAUUACGUCACAGCCUAGCACUAUUAUAGUAGGUAACUGCACUGCUGGAAACAUUCAGCUUCUCGAUUCAUGAGCAUCCUUUGGUCAUUACUUCCUUCCAUCAGAAUCUCAGCAGCCAGGCCUCUGUGCUGUGGGUUUCUUGUUCCUCCUUUCCUGAGUUUCCUUUCUUCUUUUUUCUGGGCAGUUUCAGUAAAACCAAAAUUCUCUGUUCGCUGUGCAGAGCAACUUACUUCUACCUCCCUGUCAGUCCUUCUAGCUGUUGACAUAAUCUACUUCCAGAUCAGCCCAUCAAGAUGUUUUGAUUUUUAAAGAGAGGUGUAUUUUUUAUCCCCUCUAAAGAAACAUGCCCCCAUCUCCUCAAAUAACAAAAUUUUAUCCUAGUGGUACAUAUUUUAUUACAUUGUGAAAACUUAGAUAUAUUUUAAAACUUAUUUGAACACAUUGAACUUGUUUCUAUGAUAACCUCCAUUUAAAAAUGGCUUCAUCUCAGCUGGUAGGAUAAAAAAAAAUGCCCAUUUUAUUUCAUAAACUAAUAUUUUAAGGAGUUCUGAAUUUCUCACAAAUAUGAAAUUAACCCCUCUCAAAAUGCUGCUUCUUAAAGGACGAAGACAACUUUAUUAUUGGAAAACUGUUCAAUACAAGAAAGAGGCUCUUUUCCUUUCCUUAAAUGGAAGCCACUAUUUUUAGUUUUAUUUUAUUUUGGUUUUGUCCUAGGAAUCAGAAAUGGGGCUGAAAUUUCUUUCUCAAUAAAUAUUGUUUUCUAAUUAUAAUUAUUUUGGUAUUUUAAAAAAGAAAAAAGAAAAAUAAAUAGAACAGAAAAACAGAAAAUAAAAAUAUCUAUAUCCCAUUACCCAGAGAUAGUGACUGUUAACUACUGGAUAUAUGCCCUCUAAGAACUUUUUAAUUGCCACAUAUAUAUGUAUGUAUUUAUGUGUGUAGCAUACACAUCUGUCUAUCUAUAUACUAUAUAUACAUACACACAUACUUUUCCUUUAGCAAAAGUAAGAUUGUAGUGAGGACUUUAUUUCAAUAAAAUAUAGAACUGCAUCAUUUUCAAUUGCUACAUGAUAAUUCAUUUAUGGAAAUACAAUAACUUAAUCAGUUUCUAAUCAAUGAGCAUUUAGUUUAUUUCCAUUUAUUUUCUAUUAUAAACAUUGCUAUGAUGAUACAUAUUUUAGAAGUUGCUAGAAACUUAGAAUAUGUGAUUCUGGUUUCUUAAAUAGCUUUCUUCAAAUAUUUGCUUCUACAAGCUGUCUUUAAGACUAAAGUUUUUGGAAUCCUAUCUCAAAGCACUUUGGCCACCAAAGUAGGAAAUCAGCAGCAAGCAUCCAAAAGGUCUUAAAUAUUUUUAACCCUAAUAGAUGACCUCCCAACCUGGCUACAAGAACAUUUCAGUUUUAAGUCUCAGUUGCCCAAAGAACCUCCACAUCAAUCAAAUGGAUUUAUUGACGUGAAGGAGCCUGGUGCUUUGCUGCCUUCCCGCAUCUGCUGCACUUGCUGCUUCUCCUGGCUGGAGGGGCUGGAAAGCACUUUCUCUUCCUCUCCACUGAUCAACUCUAAUCCAGAAUUAAAGUUCCAGCUCAAAUCUCACUUGAUCCAUAAACUCUUCCUGACCUCCAGCAUGAAGUGAUUUGUUCCCUCAUUAAACUCCUUUGGCACAUGAUAUUUGUAUCAUUUUUGGCAAUUAAAUGUGUAUUAUCUUGUAACAUUCUCUUCUUUCAAAUGUCAUUUACAUCUUACUUAUUAUUUCAUCAUUGGCAUAUUUUUAUCACCUGUCUACAGUUAUUCUAAAAGGCAAUUGAAGGAAGAGAUCAGUCUUACUAUUUGCAUAGCACUAUACCUUGCACACAGUAGGAACUUGAUAAAUCCUUAUUGAUUUGAUUUCUGUAAAUUACAGAACUGUUAGUAAAAUUCUUGUUUGGUUCAAUGUCAAUGCACAGAUAUAAGCAUAUCAAAGGGGCUAUUUUCUUAAAACUUUUGUUGAGAUAUUAAUGUAAAAUCUUUGUUACUGACUAUAUAGUGCUAGUGUUGGCAACUGAGCUAUGUAGUAUUUAAGUAUCAUUAUAUCUUUAAGAUUUUUUUCAAUAUUUUAGUAUUUUAUAAUACUUUAAAUAUCUACUUACAAUAGUCUGCAUAAAGAUCGAAUUACUUACCUUACAAGCACUUGAGUAGAAGCACAAAAAUAACAGAAUAACAUGAGCGAGCUUCAUGUUGGAGAUAGGGUUUAUGUCUCUGCCAAGGACUGCGACCCACCUCAGAUAUUCAUUUGGAAAUUAAUUUUUAACCUCUGGAAAAAUAUUUAAAAGCUGGUAACCCUCGAAAGAGCUUUGUACUUUUGAACCCUUAUAGACUUUGGCUAAUAUUCAAAGCGUUUUACCGUAACUGAAACUAAAAAUGCCCUUCCCAGUAAAGAGCUGAGGGAGACAACCAAUAGGGACUGUUUCUUCCAAAGGAGAGGGAUUUUCCUCCCCUUGCUGGAAACAAUGCGGCAAUUGUGUUCUAGCAAAAGCAGAAAUUACAUUGGAAGUAAGUUUCUUAUAUUUUUUGUAAAAUAAAAUUAUAUAUAUUUUUUAUUAAAGUUGAAGACUAGAAGCAGCAAGAAAAAGAAGUACAUCUUAUUGAAAGCUAUACUAAAUAAGCUAAACACUCAAAAAAAAGAAAAAUCCGUGUAUUGGUUAUACUGUGAUCAAAUUAUAUUCUCUGAGCACAGAAAACUUUUUGAAACAAGAUUUUUGCCCUACUACCAACUAUAAUAUAGGAUUCACUGGCAUUUGUGAAGUAAAUUUGUGAAGUAAAUUUGUGACAGAAGCAAUGUAGACACAGUUUGAGUUCUCCUGAAGUAGAUAUGUGAUAGAGCUUAUUAGUGAUAAUAUGUUUAUUAGGGACGUUUAUUAGGGCAGGGUGUUUAUUAGGCAUCAACACCUGUGAAAGGAAAGGAGAGGAAGCAGGAGUGAGCAGAGGGAGAAAGGCCAGAGAAAGCCUUGGCCGACCCUGUAGGGACCUCUGGAGCUUGUCCGAGUGUCCCUGGGUCAGGCCAAAAUGACUGGGCUGCUGUACCCUGCCUUGCUCAGUCACCUCACACACACUGCCCAGGAAGGGCAUAGCCUUGGGUGAGGAUGUUCUCUGUAACUGAGGCUGACCCUGAGGGAUCUGACAAUUGUUUUCUUUUAGGAGGAGGUGUCUGACCACGUUUUUUAUAGCUCGGCAGCAAGCCCUCCCUUGAAGAGGGAUCUGGGAAACAUCUCCAUAUCGUUUAGAGUCUACCCCUUGUACCUUUUAGAUCUACUUUACCAUGUAUGUUUUAAGAGCAGUUCCUUCAAAAUUCCAGGGGGCCUACUCUUCCCGAGGGGAAACUAAGAAGGGGGAGUUAGUGGGAAAGUCCUGCCCUUGCAGUUGAUCUUAGGGCUGCAAUUUAAUUUCAUCCCCGGCCUCUUCUCUCUCCAUUCUAGAUUCCCUUCACCCUGACCUACCUGCUCUUGCUGGCUUCAGUGGCUUACUUGAUGGCAUGUGCCAGAACCUCAUUCUGGCUCCUAUCCCUCAGCUCCCGUGUAUUUUUCCUAUUGGAGAUUGUGCCAGUUUGAAUGUAUUGUGUCCCCCAAAAUGCCAUUAUCUUUGAUGCAAUCUUGUGUGGGCAGACAUAUU